rnacentral:rRNA from 1 species
UGCCAGACUCCUACGGGAGGCAGCAGUGGGGAAUAUUGCACAAUGGGGGAAACCCUGAUGUGGCGACGCCGCGUGAGCGAUGAAGUAUUUCGGUAUGUAAAGCUCUAUCAGCAGGGAAGAAGAUGACGGUACCUGACUAAGAAGCCCCGGCUAACUACGUGCCAGCAGCCGCGGUAAUACGUAGGGGGCAAGCGUUAUCCGGAUUUACUGGGUGUAAAGGGAGCGUAGACGGCGAUGCAAGCCAGAUGUGAAAGCCCGGGGCUCAACCCCGGGACUGCAUUUGGAACUGUGUGGCUGGAGUGUCGGAGAGGCAGGCGGAAUUCCUAGUGUAGCGGUGAAAUGCGUAGAUAUUAGGAGGAACACCAGUGGCGAAGGCGGCCUGCUGGACGAUGACCGACGUUGAGGCUCGAAAGCGUGGGGAGCAAACAGGAUUAGAUACCCUUGUAA